rnacentral:lncRNA from 1 species
CAAAAUUACAGGUCCGCUUUGCUAACUGAUGCUCACUUCGUUACAGUUCAUGGUGGGGGUGAGUAAAUGUAAACUUCAAAGCUUUUGCUCAGCUCAAACUAUCAAGGGUUCCUCCUGGCAAAACGGCCAGCUACACCAGCGACCUACGAGUAGAUCAGCGUCUCUUCUUGCUUGCUUUCGAGCUGCUCUUCGAUGGGCUCGCGACCAGGUAGAUAAACAGUCCCACGAACGAGACAACAGACACCAGUGACCCGUAUUUCAUCACAAGCCUCUGUAUCAUGGAUAGCGAUUUGUUAGCAUCCCACUCAAACGAAUGCUAGAAACAUACUUGAGAGCAGCUGAUUUAGAUGGACUUGUAAAAUUGACUGUAACUGAAGGAAAGAAAGAAAAUACCUUAGCCUGAACAUAGCAGGAGAGAAAAUUCGGAUUUCCACACACGGGAGUAGCACCGGAAACAGUAUCCAAACAUCAGUGUCCAAAAGAAACAUAAACUAGGAUGUGAAUGCAAUGGCAUGAUUACUUACCCAUUCAAACUUCUUCUCCGGAGGUCUCUCAGCGAGAAUAUCC